CACCCUUGGGGGGUGUGCGUGUUUUUUGUGUUUUAGUAAAGUUAUUGGGGUUGAGGCUUCAAACCCGGGUUCGGAACGGAAUGGGGCCCA
rnacentral:RNase_MRP_RNA from 12 species